rnacentral:rRNA from 1 species
UUAAAUUGAAGAGUUUGAUCAUGGCUCAGAUUGAAUGCUGGCGGCAGGCCUAACACAUGCAAGUCGAACGGUAACAGGAAGCAGCUUGCUGUUU